CUCAACCAAACAUCAUAUACCUGUCAAGUCGUCUGUUUACAACAACGAUGGCGUCAUGCAAUAAAAUAGCGAAAAAAAGGUGUGCAAACUGGACAGACAAGGAAAAGGCGACGGCUAUUGGUCUGAUUGUGGAAGAGGAGGGCAGAGGAUUGUUCUCAACGUCCGUGGGGCCUCUCAAGGUGCACACGAGAAAAAACAAAUGUGGGAGAACAUCUGCCAACGCCUUAACGCGUACGUUCCAGCAUAUUUUAAUGACUAGCUUUUCCAUGUUGAAAUUGGCUUAAAACUCUUGUUUUGUAAGCGACCAAUGCUACAUCUUCCAGUUGACCUAUAAUUUUAGGAUAAUAGUAUGUAUAAUCUCGAGGUACGAUAACAUGUAUUUUUGGUCCAAAGGAUGAAUCAAACUGUUUGUUUUUUUAAAUUUUAGAUCAGGACUUUGUGUCGAAAGAAGGUCUGUGGAGGACAUCAAAAUAAAAGGCAAAUUAGAUGCAGCCAAAAAAACAGGGGGUGGUCCUAUCAAACUCUCCUGCCGAAGAGAUCUUGGCAGACCACCUAAGGGAUGUUAACCGGCGACAAAUAGACGGCAUCCCUGGGGGUGUUGAAACAUAUGUUACAGUAUCAUCAGUGCCAGAAGUGAACAUGCCUUCUACUCCAACGGAGGAUGUUACUGUUAUGCCAUUGUUAUUCUCUGUAUCAGCUGUACACGAAACUGCGUGUCACCUGACCAACCACAGCCACCAGUUUCUUGUCCAGGUACCAGUGUAGCCUGUGACCCUGCAGAGGCUCUUGACAACAGUUUUGACUAUGAUUCCCCAAGUAACACGUAUCAGAUUGUCAUGGACUGUGCAAGUGGAAGUACAGUGGAAAAAACAGACUUCCAGAAAGAUAACAAAAGAUACCUUUUAAACUUUUUGUUUGUAAUGCAACAACAAAUUGUUUGUUUGUAAAAAAGAAGUAUUUUGGUAUUAAUAAGACUUUUAAAUAUAUUUAAUAAAACCAUUUGGUAUUUAUUGAAAUCUCAUACUAAUGCUCAUAUCAGUUUAACCAAUUUGUUUUUUCUUCAUUUAAAAGCUGAAUUAAAUUUAUUUACAUUAUUAUGUGAAUGACAAUUCUUAGAUAAUAUUUUUCAUUUAUCAGGUAAAAAAACUUCCCGCAAGCGCAAAAGACUGUCAGAAGAACGCUUGUUUGCGCUAGAGGAAAAAAGGCUGCUGGCAGAAAUAAGAGCAUACGACAGCCAGUAUCUCUUUUAUCAAAAUAAAAUAAAGAAAGACAAUGAAAUUUAUGAGCUAAACAAAAAAAUUCCUUCUUAAAAGAAUAAAUGAAGAAUAAAUGUGUUCAAUUUGAUUGCCAGGCGCCGAUAACUUGAAACUUCUUAAGUCUCUUAUAUUAUAAACAGAACUAAGCUAAUCACACUUUUUUGUAUUUCGAUAAGAUGCAUUAUAUUUAAUUCUUAGAGUUUUAAGACAUUAUGUAGAAAUAACGUAUAUAAUAUUAGAAUAAACCAUUUUUCAAAAUCGAUUUUCAGUAUGUUUGAAGGCUUAUUGAAAUAAGAGACUUAAGCUUGUUAAGCCUAAGAUGUUUGGAGAAAUUUGGGCCUGAAUGUUUGAAUUAACAGUUGUACUCUCUCAAAUUUAGAUAUCAUUUAAUUUGGUAAUAUAAUAAAUAUAAGAAAAAGUUGGUUUGGCCAUUUAUGCAUACAAUUCAAUUUUAAAAUUUAACUCGCAAUAUAACAUAUCUCAAAUAUUUAGAAACUGACAAAUUUUGUAUUUCUUCAAAUUACUAUUUGAUCUUUUGUUAAAAGAGUUCUGUCACUGAGCAACGUACAAGCAAAAAUUGGUAUUAAUUUGUCUGAUGCGAAAAUUGAACAGUUGACUAAUCAGUACAUUGGUGAGACUACAACUUUAAAUUCAGACUGGAAUAUCAUAAUUUGAUGUGAUGUCUUUUGUAAAAGAAAUAGAGAAUAUUUGUUAAAUUUAGUUUAAGAUAUAGAGGAUAUUUGUUUAUUUCAGUGUAAGAUCGUAUUUUAUUUCACGAGUGUCAUAGAAAAUGUAUUUUUUUCUAUGAUCACGAGUGAAAUUAAAUACGAUCUUACACUGAAAUAAACAAAUUUUCUGUUUCUUUUAUGCUUAUUUUCGGAGUUUUAUUUGAUUUUUAUUUAUUUCUGAAUUACCCCUUUUUUUGAAAAGGGUGGGUUUUACGCCGCUACCCGUGGGGUGCCCCGCAUGAAUAAUUAUAGCUGUCAACUUCUAUUUUCGGUUUGCUGAGAAAUAGUUCUCUGCUAUUCAUUCUUCUAGCUUAAUAUUCGCUCAUCUUUUAUUGGAAAGCUUUAUGAACAGUAAACAAUGAAGUUUUAUUAGUGUACAUAUGUUCCAAAAAAUAAUGAAAACACUUUUAUUUUAAUAUAAGCAUGAAUGCAUAACCAAAUUACUACGACGCUAUUUCAAGAAUGAAAAUUUGGAAGGUCAAAUGUGUUAGCAAAACAAAUGUGGAUGCUCAUUGGAUUUUAAACAUUCUUCUUAGUUUAAGACUGCAUGUGUUUCAUAGUAAAUUAAUAUUCAGUCAUCUUACUGUCAGAGACCAGUAUGUUUCGCGUUAAAACAGGUUUGUUUUCCAGAUAAAGAGUGAAUGCCACGCUAGUUUGUUGACACAUUUUGAGGUGUGGGUGGGGUAAAAAUAUCGGAUGUAUCUGUAAAUUGUUGUGUGAAUUUUCCAGGAAGCUCAUUUUACGUACUACAACGGCAAACAGUUUAAAAUACAUUUGAACGAUGAUAUAAAAUUUUAUUUAUGUUCGAACAGUUGUUUUUGUCUGUAAUUUGUUUGGUUUGAAAGCAAAUGUUCGAACAUUCAGCUUCAAAGAUCAGGAAAAUGUUUGAAAAACGGGAUAACUGGUAAUAAACGGUAAGUUGUUAAUUUCUAAUUAUAUAUUUAUUUCAAUUUAUAAAACGUUUCUUUAAUUUUUAAACAUUUUUUAACAUAAUUUACUGAAGUCCAGUGUUCUGUUUUGAUCAAGGCAAGUACAUGUAACAACAAAGGAAUUUAAAAGUAGUUCUGAAAGUUGAUAUUUUCACGCCUUAUUUUGCAGUGAAAAUAUCAAAUUGAUAUUUUCACUGUUGUUAUUUCACUGUUAAAACCCCAUAUUUCAUCGUAAAGCAUGAAAGAAAUAAAUAUAUAUAUCACAUGGGCUUUUUUGGCAAAUUAUAACAUCUUAAUUACACUUAAAGUUGUUAAUAAAAUUCAUAGAUUGAACUUAAAUGACCUGAUUAGCCUUGAAUAUUGGUAUUUAAGAGAAUAAGGUGAAGGUCUUGAUUUGAAUGCUUUUGAAAUUUUUUUUUGCUUAAUUGCUUGAAUAGAAACACUUCAGAUUUAAUUAAAUUGUUUUGUUCCAUCUGGUCAUUAUAAUCAUCUUUUAUGUGAAAACACAAAUGCAAAUAAAAUGUUUUUUGUUUAAAAUGGUAUGUGACUCACAUUCAAACCCAUUAUGUUAUCAUUUUAUAUAUGUAUAACUGAAUUAUAUUUUGAUCAUGUAAUGAGGAAUACGAUUGUGUACAAAUUACUUAAUAAAUGUAUUGAAUCUCUUAUAUCUUGUUUUCAUAACCAAAAGCCAUAUUUGGUACCCAAGAAGAAAUACACUUCUUUAAAAAAGAUCAUCAUGAUUGCAUGGUUAAUGUCCCAAAAUGGUAUAAAUAUAGACUAUUAUAAUCAGAAAUUAGUGUUCAAAUGUUUAUUUCGUCGGUGUCCGGUUAAAGUUUUUAGGCAAGUUGGGAUUUUCACUUAUAAGUCCAAUACCUUUCAUUCAAUUGAGUUAAUACUUCACACAGUUGUUCAGGGCCAUCACAUGAUGAGGUUAGAUAACUCCAUAUUAUUCUUUACACAGAUUAUGGCCCCUGAUUGACUAUGAAACUUAGGUUAAAGUUUUAGGGCAGGUUGGGAUAUUUAUAAAUAACUUCUAUACCCUUUGUUCAAUUGACUUAAUACUUCACACAGUUGUUCAGGACCAUCACAGAAUGAGGUUACAUAACUCCAUAUUAUCCUUAAUACAAGUUAUGGCCCCUGAUUGACUUAGGUUAAAGUUUUAGGGCAAGUUGGGAUUUUCACUUAAAACUCCAAUACCAUUCAUUCAAUUGACUUAAUACUUCACACAGGUGUUCAGAGCCAUCACAUAAUGAGAUUAGAUAACUCCAUAUUAUCUUUUAUACAAAUUAUGGCCCCUGAUUGACUAUGGAACUUAGGUUAAAGUUUUAGGGCAGGUUGGGAUAUUGUUUAAUAACUUCUAUACCGUCUUUCAUUUGACUGACUUCAUACUUCACACAAUUGUUCAGGACCAUCACCCAAUGAGGUUAAAUACAAGUUAUGGCCCCUGAUUGACUUAGGUUACAGUUUUAGGCAAGUAAAAGUUAAGGGCAGGUUGGGAUUUUAUGCGUUAUAUUUACUUCUUUAAGAUUUUUUAUAAAUUAUAUAAGAAAAAUCUGUAUGCUAAUUAGAAGAAACCAUUUUUCAUUUAUCAAAAUCCAUUAUUAGUAUGUAUUUUGGCUAAUUGAAAUAAGCGACUUAAGCCUGUUAAGCAUAGGAAGUUUUGAGAAAUUUGGGCCUGAUGUGUAUGUGUGUAAUGAACUUUUUUACAAAGUUAAAUAUA